CCUACGGGGGGCAGCAGUGGGGAAUAUUGCACAAUGGGGGAAACCCUGAUGCAGCGACGCCGCGUGCGUGAAGAAGUAUUUCGGUAUGUAAAGCUCUAUUAGCAGGGAAGAAAAUGACGGUACCUGACUAAGAAGCCACGGCUAACUACGUGCCAGCAGCCGCGGGUAUACGUAGGGGGCAAGCGUUAUCCGGAUUUACUGGGGGUAAGGGGAGCGUAGACGGCAGCGCAAGUCUGGAGUGAAAUCCCAUGGCUUAACCAUGGAACUGCUUUGGAAACUGGGCAGCUAGAGUGCAGGAGAGGUAAGCGGAAUUCCUGGUGUAGCGGUGAAAUGCGUAGAUAUUAGGAAGAACACCAAUGGCGAAGGCAGCUUACUGGACUUUUACUGACGUUGAGGCUCGAAAGCGUGGGGAGCAAACAGGAUUAGAUACCCGAGUAGUC
rnacentral:rRNA from 1 species